AGAACGAACGCUGGCGGCAUGCCUAAUACAUGCAAGUCGAACGAACUCUUCGGAGUUAGUGGCGCACGGGUGCGUAACGCGUGGGAAUCUGCCCCUUGGUUCGGAAUAACAGUUGGAAACGACUGCUAAUACCGGAUGAUGACGAAAGUCCAAAGAUUUAUCGCCAAGGGAUGAGCCCGCGUAGGAUUAGCUAGUUGGUGAGGUAAAGGCUCACCAAGGCAACGAUCCUUAGCUGGUCUGAGAGGAUGAUCAGCCACACUGGG
rnacentral:rRNA from 1 species